rnacentral:rRNA from 1 species
AUCUCUGGCCAUACCACCCUGAAUACACCUGAUCUUGGCUGAUCUAGGCAGCUAAGCAGAGUUGGGUCUGGUUAGUACUUAAAUGGGAGAAAGAAAAUUUAGUUACACUAUUAGUGGGGAUGCAAGCCUGUGGAAAAC